AGUGAACGCUGGCGGUAGGCCUAACACAUGCAAGUCGAACGGCAGCACAGUAAGAGCUUGCUCUUACGGGUGGCGAGUGGCGGACGGGUGAGGAAUACAUCGGAAUCUACUUUUUCGUGGGGGAUAACGUAGGGAAACUUACGCUAAUACCGCAUACGACCUACGGGUGAAAGCAGGGGAUCUUCGGACCUUGCGCGAUUGAAUGAGCCGAUGUCGGAUUAGCUAGUUGGCGGGGUAAAGGCCCACCAAGGCGACGAUCCGUAGCUGGUCUGAGAGGAUGAUCAGCCACACUGGAACUGAGACACGGUCCAGACUCCUACGGGAGGCAGCAGUGGGGAAUAUUGGACAAUGGGCGCAGGCCUGAUUCAGCCAUACCGCGUGGGUGAAGAAGGCCUUCGGGUUGUAAAGCCCUUUUGUUGGGAAAGAAAAGCAGCAGGUUAAUACCCCGCUGUUCUGACGGUACCCAAAGAAUAAGCACCGGCUAACUUCGUG
rnacentral:rRNA from 1 species